GCCCUUGUGACGAAACUGGCAAACGUGCUGGUCUUAGAAACCAGCUAAAAGUGGGUUCAAAUCCCACCAAGGGUA
rnacentral:tRNA from 1 species